UUCAAAGUCUGUGACUUCUGUUAAAUUUUGAAAACUGGUAUGCAAUGCGCGACAUUCUUUAACGCGAUUAAAUGUUGAUAAAAGAUUUCUCGCCGGUCGAAACAUGUUAAUUCUUACAGAAACAGAAACACAUUCAAAUCAUUUAUAGAAUUCGGUACUCGGCAUGUUAAGCUCAACUAACCUAACCAUGAUAAAUUCUGACUUUGUUUGAAACGAUCAUUUAUACGUUUGAAAAUUCCUACACAAAUAUCGUAGUUUCUUUCGUUUUUUGAUAAUGAAAAAUAAAAUUAGUUUAAUAUUUAUUGACACAGAUUAAUUAAUCUAUCACUGCCAAUUCAGAUACUCAGAGAGACACACAACUUUGCAACUAUGAGGAAAAAUGAUGCAACUCAAACACAACUAUACUUAUCACUAUAUACUUACAAAGAUAGAAAGCUAUUAUUUCGUUCUAAGCGCUGAGAAGAUGUUGGUAUCAAUUAAUACUGAUAUUCUUGGAAACAGGUGAAGGCAGACUCAACUGCAGCUGCAGCUGAUUUAUCUUUGCCAGAAUAUCGACAUGGAAAGGCAGUUGUGAUUGAUAAAUCUAUAAUUAAGGAAGGACUGCAUUCUAGUUUUGAUAGCCACAGACUUCCUUGUCUGUUAAAUGGCAAUGUAAAUCUACUAACAAAGCUGCUGUAGUAGUUAUUGUUACCAAAAAGGGUUGUAUUUUACCCAAGGUACUGAAGGAAGUAAGUUCUACCAUGGUACUCAUGUCCCUAAAACACAUAGUACUGUUAAUGUAGUUUUAAGAAACGUAUAUCUUAUUAUUACUUCUUACAUGGCGUGACUCCUUAUUCCAAGAUUUGCAUGCUUCACUGGUACUCUUACUACUUGCACUGGAGGACUGGCAUGAAUCUUCUCAGGACUUUCUUCCAUAGGCUCCGCAGUUGUUGUUUCCAUUUUAGCUUUUUUAUUUACCAGUAUACAAAUCAAAUGGAUAGAAUAGGCAUUAACUAGUUUAUUAAUAUCAUAUCAUAAUUAAUAACUACAAAAUACACUACAUUGCACAAUCAUAAUACGUAAAAUUUAACUAAGCAUUAGAAGAAGUAUGUAAAUACUGUAUAAUAGUCAUCAUUCUGUGUAUUAUUGCUCAAAACCUAACUGAACCUCAUAUACACUAUUAUUAUUGA